rnacentral:rRNA from 1 species
GAUGAACGCUGACAGAAUGCUUAACACAUGCAAGUCGAUGGGGAAGUGGUGCUUGCACCAUGGUAACCAUGGCGGACGGGUGAGUAACGCGUAAGGAACUUACCUGCGGGACCGGGAUAACAGCAGGAAACUGCUGACAAGACCGGAUAAGGUCAUUAAGCUGCAUAGCUUAGUGAUGAAAGGAGACGCCUGCGGAGAGCCUUGCGUCCUAUUAGCUAGUUGGAGGGGUAACGGCCCACCAAGGCGAAGAUAGGUAGCCGGCCUGAGAGGGUGGACGGCCACAAGGGGACUGAGAUACGGCCCUUACUCCUACGGGAGGCAGCAGAGGGGAAUAUUGGACAAUGGGGGCAACCCUGAUCCAGCAAUUCUGUGUGCACGAAGACGGUUUUCGGAUUGUAAAGUGCUUUCAGCAGGGAAGAAGGAAGUGACGGUACCUGCAGAAGAAGCGACGGCUAAAUACGUG